rnacentral:tRNA from 1 species
GGAGAUAAUCCGGUUGGAUGAGGGAGCUGGUUGGAAACCAGUUGUACUCCUAUUAUGGGGUAUUGGGGGUUCGAAUCCCUCUGUCUCCG